rnacentral:miRNA from 1 species
UUCGAGUCGGCGGGGUAUGAGU